rnacentral:rRNA from 1 species
UAUUUUGAUCAUAUCUUUGAAUAUGAUCUAUAGGAUUGUAUUAAAAUUGAAUAAAGCUUUGUUUAUAUAUUGAUAAUGACAGUAUAUAUAUCGUGUCUUGACUAAUUGCGUGCCAGCAGUCGCGGUAAUACGUAAGAGACUAGUGUUAUUCAUCUUAAUUAGGUUUAAAGGGUACCUAGACGGUCAAUAUAGCUUCUAAAAUGUUAGUACUUGACUAGAGUUUUAUGUAAGAGGGCAGUACUUGAGGAGGAGAGAUGAAAUUCUAUGAUACCAAAGGGACUCGGUAAAGGCGAAGGCAGCCCUCUAUGUGAAAACUGACGUUAAAGGACGAAGGCACAGAGCACAAACAGGAUUAGAUACCCAAGUAGUCUUUGCAGUAAAUGAUGAAUGCCAUAGGUUAGAUUAAGAUUUAAUAUUAUAAUUUUAAAUUAAAUAUUAAACAUUAUUUGGUCUAUAAAUGAAAGUGUAAGCAUUUCACCUCAAGAGUAAUGUGGCAACGCAGGAACUGAAAUCACUAGACCGUUUCUGACACCAGUAGUGAAGUAUGUUAUUUAAUUCGAUAAU